rnacentral:rRNA from 1 species
UCUUUCCCUACACGACGCUCUUCCGAUCUGUGAAUUUAAGCAUAUUAUUAACCGGAGGAAAAGAAAAAAAAUUUGAUUUGACUAGUAGUGGCGAACGAAGAUCAAAGAGGUCAAAGGAAAAGGAAAGUUCUGUGUAAUCGGUUACUUUCGGUGCACCUUUAAAAGAAAAGGAGUUGGUUGUGUCAGACGGUUCGUGAAUUCAAAUGGAAAUUUGAAAGAGAAAAGGUGAAAUUCCUGUAAUGAACUGUGUGGCGCACAAAUCUCUCUUUUUCAUUGAGUAGAUAAUAUUGGGAAUUAUUAUUAAAUUUGGAGGUAAAUUUCUUCAAAACCUAAAUAUAAAAUGGAGACCGAUAGCAAAGAAGUACUGCGAAGGAAAGUUGAAAAGAAUUGUGAAAACAAAGUUAAAAGUACCUGAAAUUGUGUAAAUGGAACAGAAUGGGAAGUGAUUUAUGGCUAGGUCGAGUUUUAAUUCGGCAGAGUCAAAUAAGGGCAUGGAGUCGGGGAGAAGAAAGCGUUUGAUCGGAUGCAGCAAACUUGCUGUAGUUACGGCGGGCGUGUAACUGUCCUGGCUCCGUGAGGAAAAUAUUGAAGAUCCAAAUGUACUUUCGGGUUCGCACUGUAUGUGCUACUUUUAUUACUCCUAGAGUGGUUUGAGUAGUCAUGUGCGUUGCGGGUUUGAUGUAACAAAUCUUCUAAGCCUACUUAUAAAAUUUAUCAGUUCUUAUUCAUCUCGUCUUGUAACACGAACCAAGGAGUGUAUCAAAGUUAAGAGUAUUAUGGUGUAAAAACCAACAAUGCGUAAUGAAAGUGAAAGAGAUAACGGAUGUCUAAUCAAGGCAUCUUCAUAUUUUACCGGUCUUUAUUUUUUUGAUAGAUCUGAGUUUAAUUAAUUUUGAUACAACCCGAAAGAUGAUGAUCUUUACGUGAAUAGGAUAAAGUCUGGUGAAAACCAGAUGGAAGUCCGACGGGCGUUCUGACGUGCAAAUCGAUGCUCUAAUUUACGUAAAGGGGCGAAAUACUCAUCGAAUCAUUUAGUUGCUGGUUUUCUUCGAAGUUUCCCCCAGGAUAGCAGAGUUUGAAUUUAAAGAGUUGGAUUUGGUAAAGCGAAUAAUUAGGUGAUUUGGGGAAGAAUUUUCCUCUGCACAUUCUUAAACUUUAAAUGGGUCCGAAAUAAAAGUUGCUUAGUUGAACUUUUAUAAAGAAUCGAUAAACUCUAGUGGGCCUUUUCUUGGUAAGCAGGACGGGCGAUUUGGGAUGCUCCAAUCGUUGAGAUAAAGUGCAAAAGUAAUCGUUAAUCUAGACCCCAAAAAAGUGGUAUUAGGUCUAAGACAAUUGGGCGGUGGACAUGGAAGCUGUCAUCUGUUAAUUAAUGCGUAAUAGCUAACCAAUCGAGACCUAAUGCGCUGAAAAUGGAUUGCGCUAAAACGAUUCACUUAAACUCAACCAUGAGACUUAAAUAUGUUUUAAUUUCAUGAGUAGAAGAACGUGAUGAUUUUGAAGAAGCUUUGGUGUGAACUGAAGUGGAAGAAUCAUUAGUGCAGAUCUUGGUGGUAGUAGUAAUUACAAAUAUGAGAACUAUUUGAGCCGAAGUUGAAAAUGGUUUCAGAUGAAGAGCAUUUCGAUCUGAGUUAGUCGAUCCUAAAAGAUUCGUUAAAUACGAUAAAAAGUGAAAAGGAUUUAUAUCUAUAAAAGCCUUUAUCGAAUUGAAAGGGAAACUGGUUAAAAUUCCAGUACUUGAUUUGGCCGUCUGGGGGCAACUCUGGGCGGUGUUGGGAUAAUAAUAAUGUUUCGGUGACGAAAAUGAACUUUGAGACUAUGGGUUAAGGAGAGAAUAGAAAUCUCUUUUCUAUUUAAGAGGAAAAAAGUAAAUGCAAGGUUUUGCUCUUUGGCUCGCAAGGGCUGGGGAAACGGAACCGAGCUUGAUCAGCUUGAGUUGUUGCAAAUUAAUUUUAUAUUUUGACCAACAAUAAGUCCUCAAAGAUUAGGGUUAUUUUUUAUACCUUAAUUUCUCUUCCCUUUUCACGUAUCAUAAAAAUCAAAGGGAAAGAAUAAUUUUCCAAUCAAGUCGUACAAUAAUCCGCAACAGGUUUCAAAGUUUAAUAGACUCUGGCUAAGGGCAUAAUGUAAGUAAGGGAAGUCGGCAAACUAGCAUUGUAACUUCGGGAUAAAAUGUGGCUCUUGUGGAAAAGAUAUUGUGUAGUAAAGGUUUUAAUCAGCAGGCGAAGAGAUUUUUUGGAAUCCUUACUGGUUCUGCGCAAGUGGGACUGGUUUGGGAGCUGAGAUUUUUUAUUGUGUGUUGAUCCUUUGCUUCCUGCGGGGCAACUCGUGGGGUCCAACUCGGUAUCAACUAAUUUCUAAACAAGAACUGAUGCUUUCAAGGAGAAUCCGACUGUUUAAUUAAAACAAAGCAUUUCGACGAAUUUAAAAAGUUUUUAACGAAAUGUGAUUUCUGCUCAGUGCUCUGAAUGUUAAUGUGGAGAAAUUCGAAUAAGCGCGAGUCAACAGCGGGAGUAACUAUGACUCUCUUAAGGUAGCCAAAUGCCUCGUCAUCUAAUUAGUGACGCGCAUGAAUGGAUUAACGAGAUUCUCACUGUCCCUAUUUACGCGCUCGCGAACCCACAGCAAAGGGAACGGGCUUUGCAAAAACAGCGGGGAAAGAAGCCCCUGUUGAGCUUGACUCUAGUUUGAUAUGAAAAAUGAUUUUGAAGGUGUAGAAUAAGUGGGAGUCGUAAGACAAAAUUGAAAUACCACUACUUUGAAUAUUGUUCUUCUCAUUGCAUGAAGAAAAGUUUCGUAAAGCAGUUGUAAAAAGGCUGUUUUUAAUUUUUGACUUAAGUACUGAACACGCUCUUGUAACGGCACCUCAUAUAUUGGCCUUUUUUCUGGAAGUAAGAAUUAUUGUGCAGAUCGUUAGAUUUUAAGCUGUAAGGUGCGAGUAAAAUCCACUUUAUAGCUUGUCUAGCGUCAUUUGCAUUGUAAAUUUUAUAUUCAGAUUUUAGUGUUUACAACGAAUGAGGGCUAGCAGGAG